GACGAACGCUGGCGGCGUGCCUAAUACAUGCAAGUAGGACGCAGUUGCGAACGGGUGAGUAACGCGUAGGUAACUACCUAUUAGAGGGGGAUAACUAUUGGAAACGAUAGCUAAUACCGCAUACUAGUAGAUGGACCUGCGUCGUAUUAGCUAGUAGGUAGGGUAAUGGCCUAACUAGGCAACGAUAGAUAGCCGAGCUGGGUGUGUGGUCGGCCACACUGGGACCUGGUGACGGCCCGGAUUCCUACAGGCGGCAGCAGUAGGGUAACUUCGGCAAGAGGGGGAAGCCUGACCGGGCAACGCGGCGGGAGUGGAGAAGGUUUUCGGAUCGUAAAGCUCUUUUGUUAAUGAAGCGUUACUUAGCCAGAAAGUGACGGCUAACUACGUGCCAGCAGCCGCGGUAAUAC
rnacentral:rRNA from 1 species